CUUGAAUUCAAAGUAAAGGAUUUUUUUAAACUUCUUUUAACGGACGUAUACUUAUAUGUUGAGUUAAUCUAUUUAAGACCAUUAACAGUUAACCUUUCACAAAAUGAAAGGAUGAAAUAAUCAUGUUUUAAAUGUCAAUUUUACCGAAAUCCUCAGAAAGUAGGUUCGAUAAAAAAUAAUUCAAACUGAUAAUUAAUCUGCAAGAUUCCCCCCCCAUUUACGGACAAAUCAUGUAUAAUGGCGUCCUGUUAUAAGCUUGCCCAUUUGACAUUUUUCGGUAUUUAACCUAGCACUUAUAUCACGGCUACGCUUCUGAUUUUUAAGCUUACCAAGUUUACAAGGUAGACAAUAUCCAUUUGUUCACGAACAGAAAAAAAUAAACCGUGUACUAUUCACCUGUAAGUGAACAAAUUGUUAAUUGUACUUAGGAAUUGACAUAUUAGAACUUUAAUAUCAUCCUAUUGGAAGGCUGUCGCCAUGCCAACUCA
rnacentral:lncRNA from 1 species